AGAGUGUUGGAACCACCCGAUCCCAUCCCGAACUCGGAAGUGAAACGAUACAUCGCCGAUGGUAGUGUGGGGUUUCCCCAUGUGAGAGUAGGUCAUCGUCAGGC
rnacentral:rRNA from 1 species